CCUUCGUAGCUCGUGCGUCACCACGCCGCCAGCUGAUCGGAGACUGGAGCCGGUGUGUGCUGGGCGCUGGGAAGAGACAGAGCGGUCGGCCGUGCGGAGAGGACGCAGUGAUUUUGCUCCCCUGUCCUCAGCAACCCCCACACCCAGCAUCAGGAACCUGUGCCUCCCACACCCUCACCUGGCUGAGCCGCAGUAGUUCUUCAGUGGCAAGCUUUAUGUCCUGACCCAGCUAAAGCUGCCAGUUGAAGAACUGUUGCCCUCUGCCCCUGGCUUCGAGGAGGAAGAGGAGGAGCGGAGCGACUUCUUUGCCUAUCAUCUGGAAGGUGACAGAACUGGGGUUGGGAAGGGCUCACAGCUGGGGUUAUGGUUUUAGGGAAGGGAAACUCUGGUGCUUUGGGGAGCCCUUACCCACACUGGCCCAGCAAAAGGUUCAGGUUAAAGUCCCUGACUAAAUCGGGGACUAGGUAGCUCCACCUCCCCAUGUUACUUGAUCUUUGUGUCAAUGGGGAGAAACAGAAGGAAAGUCUGUCUACCUGUCUAACAAGACUUCCUCGUAGGCCUGCCUUUCUUAUCUCUCCCCACCCCCCAACUUUCCCUUCACACAAGCUCCAAAAGGAAAUGUACUCACGGGAAAGGUGACACCAAAAUUCUGAUCUAAAUGGUCAUCUGUGCGUUUACCUUUCUCUGUAUUUUUUAGAUUGGUCCAGAUUUUGGUUUUAGGGGUACUUACCUCUAUGGGAGUCUUACACCUGUUUCUUUCUCCUCCUGUGCAAUGGGGAAUCCCAUAGAUGAGUAGGCGGGAGGGCAUCAGAAGUCCACCUGUGCUGACUCAGAGCCAGGCUCCUCUUCCUGUGGGUGGAAACCAAACAGCUCCUCAUCUCAACUGUUGUCCUCCUCCACGCCCUGACUAACCCAGCUCUCAGGACUGGGACCAAUGCAAGGAGCUAGUGGGAGGCUGGACCUAUGCUGGCUGCUCAUCACACAAGGGUGACCCAAGGUUUCCCCUCCACUCAACGACAGACCACAGCUCCUGAUUGGGUCCUAGCAACUGCUGCCAUUUAUUUCCUGCCUUUGCUUUCCAGGAUAGAGAGGCUCAGCUCAGUGCUGUGCAGGGAAGGAACUGUCUCCUGCAGCCGUCAGAGGAAGCAGGUUCGAUGACAGGAGUCCCUUCUGCUGUCGCUAGCCCUGAUGCAUUCUCAUGCUUGGGCUUGGGCUCUGAUUGUGGUUCUCCUUUGGCCUAGUCUCCCUAGCAGAAGAUGGGUUCAGGGGCUACAGGAAGCCUUUUGUUCUGUUUGGCAGGAGGAGGAGUUCUAGCCCAGUCUCCAGUUAUGAGAAAUUGAAAGCCAUAGGGGAGACUAGAUCACACAACCCAACCCUGCUGCAGCCUGAGAUGAGGGGUAGGACGGGUGAGGGACCGCAGCAGAGGGGGUGGGGAGGCCGAGUCUGCUCAUACCCUGCAACAAAGCCUGCUCUGUCCCUCGACAUGGCUUUCUUCCCCUCCUCACUUCACUGGCCACAGUGUGUCCCUCCAGCACGGGCUUCAUGGCUCUGCUAUCUUCAUCCAACAUGGAGCCUCAGAGGUGAGGAAGGGCAGCCUGGAAACAGAGGCAGGCAGAAGACCAGUGAACCGGACAUUGGUCAGAGAGGCACAUAGAAGCCUGGAGAACACCAGGGAAGAGAACAGCCAACCUCAGUGAAAGACAAGCUUACUGCCGCCUCCUCUCCAGACCUCCCUUGGAAAUGAAGAGCCAUAAUGAAGUAUGGUCCCAGCUCUUCUCUACCCUGCAGUUUCUAUAUAAGCACCCUCAAGGAGCAUGAGCCACCUCUGCAAGGAAAUCAUAGCAAAUUCAAAGAGGGAUUCAAAUGUGUAGCACUAUGAAAAAAACGUAUUUUGGGCUGAGGCUGUAGCUCAGUUGGUAGAAUGCUUGCUUAGCAUGCCCAAAGCCUUGGUUCUGUCUUCUGCCUUGCCUAAAACUGGGCGUGGUGGCACAGGCCUGUAAUCCCAGUCACUGGUGGUAAUGGCCAGACUCUGCUACACAAAGAGUUCUGAGCCAGCCUGGAUUACCUGAGACUCUGUCUCAAAAGAAAAAAAAAAAAAGUCUUUGUUAGUAAUUAAAAGAAGACAGA